ncrna:unclassified sequences chromate-resist RNA
UCGGGACAUCGCAGACUCCCGGCUUUCCCAAGAUGCCUGGCAUCCAAGCUCUGC